GUUUCAAAUCAGUUUCGCUUGCUUUUCGCUACCUUUUGGAAAACAGCUUGCACAUAUCGAUCUUAAUACUCGCCAACCGACCCGGGAACAUUGCAUGUCAGCGGCUCCUAUUCCAUAUAGUGCUCCGGAGCUCCAGCUGCUCUCCUCCUGCUGCUGGCCCGCAUGCCUUGCUACCAAUGUAGUUUACGCCAUUUUACACCGCUUGACAAAUAAACUAAGCCAGCUUCAGCUGCGACGUUGACUCCAAGCGGCAACAUAUGGCAGUUACAUGCAUCUGCUCUCUUACCUUGCCGCAUUGAUGGGAACGGCAAUCUGCAAUCGGCAAUCGACAAAACGGUCUUCCAUCCAUUUAUCAUGGAGGCACAAUUAAAAUGUCACUCGGUGUCACCGCAGAUUAGUUAUGCAAUUGUGUAGCAUUCCUUAUUUCUGAUUAUUUUCAGCGUAGCAGCGUAGCAGCGUACCUUUUAUUGCGACAUAUGCAGUGGGUCAGUGCACAUAAAUCAUACGCACUGUUGUCAGUCUUGCGACUUUGACUUGAAGUUCCCAGCUGCCGGCGUGUGUGACUUCAUUACUUGCAGUGCACAAGCAUCUGGGAGUUUGCUCGAUUUGCGCUUAAAUCCACAGCUAUCUCCACUAGUGGCUCCAACUUUUGCCUUCAUUCGCGUUUAACGUUUGCGGCUAGAAAACUUUUCCCCUUUUUUCAACACACACACUCCCUUUCGACGACUUUGACAUGCGGCCACAACCGCGUUGCCGUUGCCGUUGCCGCUGUCAUCCGAAUUCCGGUUGCGGAUGAGUCACGUGGGGCAGCAAAUUAAAUUUGCUAGACGAACAGGUGAAAUGCUUUUAAGCUCCAAGCCACUUCAAUUAAAUUCUUCCCGUUUGAGCAACUCGAAGUGGUGAAAUUGCAUUUAAAGCUGGGUGUGGACCAAAUUAAUUAAACAAUAUUCCGUUAAUUAGUAAAUUGAAUAAUUUCUAUUAUUUCGUUGGAAACUGGUCAAGCUAUUUGAUGCUCCAAGUAUUUAAGGCUUCAUAAAAUUCUAUUAAAAGAAAUGCUAUGCAACUGUAAGAAACGGAGAGCUUCCAGGACUUUGCAAAAAUUCCAUUGUAGGGCAUAAAUUUGUCGUCACAACAACAGCAUGAGGCUAAAAUCGGGCGGCUGUCAGUCAAUGUUGGCAUUAACAUUCCCGAGAUUUGCAAUUGCUCACUCAAAGCCACUAUAUUGGCCACAGAAUGGCUAUUUUGGCCAGGGAAGAAAGCAAAUGCAACUGCAACUGCAGCUGCGACUGAGGUGAUGUGUGUUACCCGACGAUGAUUACUCAGAGCGGUGGAGAAAGUACGCUUCGCCACAGGGAGUGAUUAAUGCUCGGGGGAGACGAAUUAAAUCGGAUAAAAUCGUAGCUGGGAGGCGGCCUUCAAUCACCUGAUGACCCAGUUGAAUGCCUGACACUUGACCACGUAGAAUGGUUAGACAUGGCUCGGGAAUUAGCAUAAAUCAAGUCAAGCGACUAGACCUUGACACUUUACACAGCGCUGCUCUAGAGAACUAAUUGAAAAUGCCAGCAGCCAAAAAAAAAGCAGAUUGAGCAACUGAUUUAAUUCCAUUUUUUUUCUAUUUUUCUAUUUUGCAAAUCAAACUCAGCACGCACAGUCAAUCUGAGCCGACAGCCGAGUGAGGCGAAAACUGCAUCUGCGCGAUACAUAAAUACAUAUUUCAAGUGGCUCGGCGACAGCUGGUUAUUAUAGAUUCCGCGGCCGAUAAUCGCAUAUCGUAUCGCAUCGCCUGGCCCCGAAAAGAAACUGCAAGCUAAUAAAUCUCUUGACGGCUGGCAAGAUGGCAUGAAGUCGAUUCGACUGAUGGUUAAUGCCGCCCGAUCGUUAUUGCCGACAUGUGGGUGGCUUUUGACAGGCAUUUUAACACUUGCGGCCGCCCUGUCAGCGCAACUCAAAGAGCGAGUGUUUAUGACAUAACAGUGCAUCGCUGUUGGCCAGCUGCACUUUAAUUGCGGCCUGCUGCGGCCACAGUGGCCACGGCUUUUUCAGCUACAACUUUCUUGCUAGCCCAGCUAUCAAAUAGCCCACUCAUGAUCGUCAAUCGUUUUUGGCCAAAUGACCGGCGCACGUUUAGCACAUCAGCAUCAAGGAGCUCCCAGCAGAUGGGAGCUGCUGGCUCCGCAGGAUCCACCUCUCCUAGAUGGCCAGCACACGCAUUCAGGUAACGCCUCCUCAAGGUCCCCACCCGCACUGGCACCCUCUGCUCUCUUGGCCAAAAGCAAUUAACAAUUGCAAACGCUGAAACGCUGGCCGCAAUCGUAAUGGCUACCAUACUAGAAAUGACCAUAGUUAUGGCCAUAACUGUAGCUGACGCAGGAGGCUCAAAGGGAAAUAAAACCACUGCGAUUACAAAUGAAUGUAAUUGAAUAUGGGUCUGUCGGAUAGAAAGUAGCUUAAUACUCUACCGUAGAGCAAAAUUUAUAGAUAAUGCCUGGAAUCUCUAUGGUCUUUAAAGAAGAUCUUGAAUACUAUUACCAAAUGCAGUUAGGCACUAACAUCAUUUCCCGUUUUCAAUCCACAUAAGGUGCCACUUCAAUUUGGAGCUUGGAGAACUUGGCCAGCAUCAGGAGCCAUGGAACCUCACAGUUGUUCGGUAAUCGGUAAUCGAGCAGCGGCCAAAAGACUGAUGGACAGUUGGUCUUGAAUGCCGUGCACAGUUUGAAAUCCAUUUAUCAAUUUAUUGUGGGAAAAUGAGCACAUGCAAUCGAUGUGGAGUGCUCCAGUGGCUCGCACGGUAUGUAAAUGGUAGCUGGAAAAAUGAAAUCUCCGAUUGCACGCCGCUGGAUAUGAUCCCAGGCGAUUUUCAACCAUUUCCUAGGAGUCGCACUUAAUUUGGCUUAUUAAUUUACCAGCUGGAAGGCUCCCACACUCCUUUCGCCUCUGGUAAAUGCGGCAACGGAAUGAACUUUUCGCGUUAACUUUAGGUAAACCAAUUUAGCCGGCUGCCUUGACCUGAAAAGUUGGCCAACUGGGCGGGGCAAUUGAAGAUCGUCCUUUUCACUUUCGACCAAAUCAUAAGUUUGGCGGAAUGCAAACUUCUGGCUGACAGUUGCUCCACAUGAGGCCACCCACAUGAAUGCGAAUGCGUGACCCUUUUAAUCUUCCUGUCCGCCUGGGAUCUUGGUUCAAGGCCUGGCUCCAUGCACUGGAAAAAAAAACUAGAAAAUCCUGCUUAAAAAUGAUAUUUAUUAAGAAGUCAUUAAAAUUACAUAAAAGAGUGUAAAUCUAA